rnacentral:pre_miRNA from 1 species
AGGAGGAACAACCACAGUGGAGGCGGCCAGCUCUGGAGCCCUGGAUUCAGCUCCCGCAGUAACUACAGAGCUCUCCAUGUGCAGGGGCCUGGAUUCUCUGGGGGCAG